CUGCACCAUGAUGUUUCUCAACUAUCCAUGGCUCCCACAGUAAAGAAACUUCGCCUCAGGAUGGCCACAAGCAACCCUGAUGGUGGGGCGGAUGCUGGCACAGCUUGUCAGAGGCUGGCAGCUGGUGUGCAGACCAAAGCCCAGUGAACCUGGGGCCUAAAUGUCAACGUGUGGCUAUCAGGACAGGAAUAAAGGCAUUGAUGUAACACUG
rnacentral:lncRNA from 1 species